GAUGAACGCUGGCGGCGUGCCUAAUACAUGCAAGUCGAGCGAACGGACGAGAAGCUUGCUUCUCUGAUGUUAGCGGCGGACGGGUGAGUAACACGUGGAUAACCUACCUAUAAGACUGGGAUAACUUCGGGAAACCGUAGCUAAUACCGGAUAAUAUUUUGAACCGCAUGGUUCAAAAGUGAAAGACGGUCUUGCUGUCACUUAUAGAUGGAUCCGCGCUGCAUUAGCUAGUUGGUAAGGUAACGGCUUACCAAGGCAACGAUGCAUAGCCGACCUGAGAGGGUGAUCGGCCACACUGGAACUGAGACACGGUCCAGACUCCUACGGGAGGCAGCAGUAGGGAAUCUUCCGCAAUGGGCGAAAGCCUGACGGAGCAACGCCGCGUGAGUGAUGAAGGUCUUCGGAUCGUAAAACUCUGUUGUUAGGGAAGAACAUAUGUGUGAGUAACUGUGCACAUCUUGACGGUACCUAAUCAGAAAGCCACGGCUAACUACGUG
rnacentral:rRNA from 1 species